UACAGAGGGGGCAAGCGUUGUUCGGAUUUACUGGGCGUAAAGGGCGCGUAGGCGGCGCGGUAAGUCACUUGUGAAAUCUCUGAGCUUAACUCAGAACGGCCAAGUGAUACUGCAGUGCUAGAGUGCAGAAGGGGCAAUCGGAAUUCUUGGUGUAGCGGUGAAAUGCGUAGAUAUCAAGAGGAACACCUGAGGUGAAGACGGGUUGCUAGGCUGACACUGACGCUGAGGCGCGAAAGCGUGGGUAGCAAACAGG
rnacentral:rRNA from 1 species